rfam:Magnetospirillum sp. XM-1 isolate XM1 genome assembly, chromosome: I
CGCGGGGUGGAGCAGCCCGGUAGCUCGUCAGGCUCAUAACCUGAAGGUCGCAGGUUCAAAUCCUGCCCCCGCAA